CGGCGCUAACACAGAAUUAAGAAAAAAAGAAAAGAAAAAUGUAUGCUUCAUCAAAGGGUUAUGCUACAAAAGCAAGAAGAAAACAGAAAAUCCCUACUCUACGCUGCUGUUCUUACACGAAAGUGCAGCCAUGCAGGAUGGUGCCUGCGACUGCCCUGCUGGACGACAAGUUUGCAACCACCAAGCAGCCGUGCUAAGGACUGUCCUCCUACGUCAACAGUGCGGAUUCAAAGAGGUCCCUCCAGAACUGUCAUGCACCGACCUUCCACAGCAAUGGAGGACACCUUGUGGCAGCAGGAUUCUGGGGACAUUGGUGCAGUCUGUAGACUGGCGCAGUGCCCGAGAAGGAGGACUGGAUGAACCCAUAUUGAAUGAAUUUACGAUUCACGGAAAAAGCCGAGAACGUGCCUUGAACAGGAGCUAGCGGCUAAGAGGCUGGGCAACACCCUUCAAGAAAUCAACAGCAGUAACCCAUUCCUUCAUACGCUACUACAUCUUGGACCACAGGAACCUAAAAGCACAUGACUUGGCACGGCUUUUGCAAGCUCUCCACUUUCGUACCAUCAGGCCCUGCUACCCUUCGGAUUUGCUUCCUGUGUCUCGGAGAAUUUUUUUAAGCCUUCCUAAACCAGCUUUCCACUGCAAGAGUUUUCCUUCUUCUCUGGCUUGUCACCCUGCACCAUAUCUGGUGCAUUUCCAGAAAACCAACUGGAAGUUUUGAAGUGGCUGUGUGUCACCAGCUCUGCUGCUCGUGAAAUUGAGAGGAACACACGACAGCAGAGGAACAGUUCGACCUGGCUGAAGGAGAGGACUGCACGGGUGACAGCCUCCAACUUUGGUGCUGUCAUAAAGCGUGCCACUUGGACAAAGAAGGGUGUGGACAGUGUGGUAAAAAGCAGGGACCUAUCAAGGGUGAAAGCUAUAAAGUAUGUAUAUGUAUAUGGAUUUAAGUAUGGUUCCUGGAGGCUACUUGCAUUGAGCAACCCUACUCACAAUGGCUUAUGCUGCAGGUAUGGCAUUGACAAUAAAAACAUCGCCCGUGACAGAUAUAAAGCAGUUCUGCGCACCCUCGGACAUCGAGUUACGGUUAGUCUGUGCGGCCUGCUGGUUCUGCCCUCGUGUCCCUGGCUAGGAGCAUCUCCUGAGGGCAUUAUUUUUUACCCGAAGGAAGACCCUCCUCACGGAGUCCUGGAAAUUAAAUGCCCCUAUUCUCUGCGAAAUGCCAGCCUGGACGAACUCUCAGAGGAAAGCUUUUUCUCAGUAAGGGCGGUUGAGGAUACGGCAGUUGAGUGCGAGGAUGGUGAAAAUGUGCAGCUUUCAAGCAGAACCAGGAAGCCAGUGCUCAACAGGGAAUAUGAGUACUACCAUCAGGUGCUUGGACAAAUGGCGUUAUCAGGGUUACAAUGGGCCAACUUUGUUGUUUACUCUAGGGAUUUUAUACUUAUCUAGAGAAUACCUUCUUCAAAGUGUGAUUGGGAACGUGUGGAGCGCAAGCUCACAUAAUUCUAUUUUGAAACACUGCUGCCUAGAUUUUCCACCAAUCAAACACAGAAUAAUAAAUAAUAAGUUUUAUUGUUUCUUCGUAUUUAUCUGUUGUAUGCUUGAGCACUGAUUAAAAUACUUUUUGCACUCG